rnacentral:lncRNA from 1 species
UUCAGUCUUUUUCAAUGAAAUAGAAAGUAGUGUAAUAAAAAUUAUUCAACUAAAAUGGAUGUCAUAUCAAUUUAUUUUCACUGGACCAUAUGGGAAAAAGAUGUAAAGAAAAUCCUUCAUGUUGAUCAGUGCUUAAUUCAUUCAAAAAUCAUCAAAAUUAAAAAUAUAAUGACAAAAUUCAAUAAAAUUAAAUUAUAAUGACAAUUUUCAAUAAAAUUGAAUUACAAUGAGAAAAUUAAAAUAUAUUAUAUUAGCCAUUUUAUUCAUAGAUUAAAUUGUAAAAGCACAAUAUCCAUGUGUAACACAACAGAAUACAAACAAGUCCAAAUCUAAGGAUAUGGCAUUACAUGACAUGAAGAAAAAAAAAGGGAACCAACACAAAAGUUGGUCGGGUCUUAAAAGACAGACAUAACGCCCAAUUGUUGGUGGCAUUUGGAUUAAUAGUGGUUGGUGACAGGACUGGUAUUGACUUGUGCUUGCAUUGAAUUGAAUAUGAUAAUCGGUAAGCAAUAUAGAUAGAAAUAUAUGAAAGGGAAGACCGGAUCUUCUUACACAAAUAAACUCAUCUCCAUUUAAUAUUUUAAUUAUGAGUAAAUGUGAAUUAAAUUAUUUAAUUAUUAUUUUAUGAAAGUUUUCACAUUUAUUGCAUUAAUUUUUAUCAAAUUCAAAAUAAAAUAAUGCAUUAAUUGUAUUUAUUUAAAUAUAUAAUACUGAUUAACAUUUUCCUUUAAUUAGUACUUUGAAAUAAAUAUUUGAAUGCGGAAAAGUAAGAGAAACAAACUGCCAUGAAAAGGAUUUCAACGAGACACCAACCACUGGCUUACCCUAUUUUGAAAUAUUUGCCUUCCAUUCGUGAAAAUUGAAAAUCAGUCCCAAAACCAUUGCGUGAGGAGCAGACAUAGUCGGAUGCAUGAAAAUUUCAUACCUUUUAGGGCUAGUAUAAUUUAAAGGAAAAAGAAAAUUUAAAACAUACCCCACCGUCAAAGGGCUUCUCUCUCUCUCUCUCUCUCUCUUUGUUAUAUGUUGUUUUUAAAAUAUAUAAUUUUAUUAUGUUUUAUUAGUCGGCAAUUUAUUCCCAAAAAAAAAAAAAAGUCUGUAAUUUAGACCGUGAAGCUGGCAACACGGUUUUCUCUACUGCAGCAUUCUCUCUUUCACGUUUUGUAGCCAGCAGAUGUGGCGCACACACGGUCGCGGUGCCAUAGUCAAAGAAAAAUCUUAAAUAUGCUCCACCGACGUAGAUUUUUAAAUUUGUUUUUUCCCCCACCAUCAUUUGACUAUUUUAUUAAAUGCCGAUCAAUUGCCAACAGAAGUGAUUCACUACAGGAAAUUUAUUUUUUUCUCCAAUUUUUUUUGUUUUUUAGGUUUAGCAACAUUUAUAAAUGUUAUUAUAAGGUCAUCGGCACUUACCAAAUCAUCACUAAAUUAUUUUCGUAUUGAAAAAUUUAACGGUGUUUCUUUUUCUCUUUUAUAAAACUAUUAGUAUUGAUUAUUUUCGUAUUGAAAAAUUUAACGGUGUUUUUUUCUCUUUUAUAAAACAUCAUCCGGCAUUUUCAGUACAUUUAGCAGCAUUUCUUAAAUAACUUGAAACAUAAUUUUAAGGUGAGAUUUUUUAUUUGAUGCUAUUUAUGUUUCAUAAUCGCUGCUAACCUAAUAAAUAUAACGAUGUUUUGAUUAAAAAAAUGCCAUUAUACCAAUAAGUUUAACAGCAUUUAGUUGAUAUAACCUAAAUCUUUUUUUUUUUUUAAUUUACUAGCAACACUUGUAGGUGCGAACGUUACUAAAUACAUAUAGCGAUGAGUUCUCAAAAACCGCAACUAAUUUUUUACUUCUAUUUUUUUUUUUAUAUAUUUGUUAAUAUAGUUAAAAUUUUAAUAUUUGAAAUAAUUAUUUCUUCCGGUAUUUACCAUUACAAUUACAUUAAACAUCUAUGUUUAUUACACCAUUUCAUUUAUAAAAUAAUAUAAUAAAAUUUUACCAAAUCAUUUAUGAAUUCUAAUUAGUUAAAAGCAUAUAAAACACAGAAACGUCUAUUUUAACCCACAAUUAGUCCCUUGACUUAACAAAAAUAAUUUUCAUCUAAUAAGAACUCAAUUGAUGAAAAUACAUAUUUAAAAGUUUAAUUUAUUGCAAUAAAAAUAAUAAGAACUUAAAUGAUUAUUUAAUUUUAUUUGAAAGCUUUUUUUAUCCUUUAACCAUAUCAUUAACAAGAAAGUAAACUUAAAUAUCUCUUUCACAAUAACCUAUAACAAUGCAUGCACAGCUAGAAAACAAAGACACAUGUGAACCCAUGUUAGGUCAUAGAACCAAGGUUAUUAAUUCCAUAUCAAACAACAUUUUGAUUUUCUUUAAAAAGCCCAUACAUAUCGAUACUAGUUGCUUCAACAUAUUAUUUUAAAAUUUUUAGUUUAAUACACAUAUUUAUAAAUACACAUAAACUUGUACAUAAUAAUAUUACUAAUAAUUUUCAAAAUAAAUAUACAAUAUUUUUAAAAAUCAAAUAAAUAAACAAAUAAUAUUAUCAAUUUAUCAUGAUAUUUCAUAUGACAUUUAAAUGGUUAUUUUUUUUCAUUUAAAUUUUAUUAAGAUAAAAACAAAUAAUGAAAAAAAAAAACUAACAAAUAAUGAAAAAAAAAAAAAAACUAACUUUGGCUCCAAGAAUAUUAAACUUUAGAGAGGAAUCACAAAUAUUUUCUUAAAAGAAAUUGAAAUAUGGUUUGAAAAAAUAAAGUGUAAAAGAAAACAAGUUAUAGUAAAAAAUAAAAAAACCCAACUUUCAAACAUUAUUUUGUCCAUUAGUUUUAUUUUUAUUAAGUUAAAAAUAAUCAAAUAAUUAAAAAUAAGUUAAAAAUUACAAAACAUGUUUCACAUUCACUAAUCACAAGCUAAUCUACCAAAACCAGCCAAAGCCAACCAAUAUCACUCAGGUUCGAUAUGAAAAACCACCUUUAAAUGUAUAUUUUUUGGUAUAAUUGAAGCGUACCGACCAGUAUAACCGAUACCGUAACAAAAUUAAUAACAUUGCAUAGAACACCAAAAAGGUUUUGACAUUCACAUCAUGAAAUUAAAGCAUAUAAUCAAAAGGUAUAUAAAAAUUAUUUGAGUGCACUGGAACUAAAGCCCACAAUUCCAUCCUUAAAAGCACACAUUUCCUACAAGGUUAUUAUAUCAACAACUUAGAUCAAAUACAAUUAUGAAAUCUCAACCAUUCACGAUGGACCAAUCCAUCCAUACCUCACAUGGAUCCUCACCUCACAAUGUGAGGAAAAAUAAUUUUAAAUGACAUUAAUCUCUAGGAUAUUAGCAACGGACCAUUCAUUCCUAAAAAUAAAUGAAGAGAUAGGGUAACCCUCCCUAAACCAAUUAAAAGUUACAACUUGGACCAUAAUAUUCUGCAGGAGUAAAAUGAUACAAAUGCCCAAGUCCAGCAAUUGAUUAACAAAAAUAUAUGCAAAUUUGAAAGUAAACUAAAUUAAAUUAAACUAAUUCAAUGAUUAGUACUAAGAAUUAUAAAAUUAAACAUGAAGUAAAAGAUAAAACUAAUGAUUCACGAUAGUUUAGUUAUAAUGCUAAGUUUAGACCAUUUAGUCGCACUUAAAAUGCAAAAACAGAAUAUUUAAUACUACUUUUAGCACUUCAAAUGCCAUAAAGCUAAGUUUAAAUCAUUUAGUCACAAGACCAGGUUACCCUAGAAUAUUGGUUUCACAUGCUAUGUUAUAUAUGCUUCCAAAUGUCCUUAAUAAAACUAAAUAAAAAAAGAAUUGACGUUUGUUUUUAAAACUAGUAAAAAUAGAAUGAGAUUCUAUAUCCAAACUAGAAAAUCUAUCAACCACAUUAGGCUCAGCAAUGAAUUGAUAGUUUGGAUAUUGAGUUCCUAUAUCAGAGGAUAUUAGUUUCAUACUUAUGCGAUCGGUGAUCUUAUAUCCCUUUUGCUAAUGAUCAAAGCUUUAUAAGCCAUUGUAUGCCUUGAGUGCAGGCAUUAAAAAAAAAAAGGCAAUCAUAAGCUACAUAGUUUCUUCUAUUUUGCACUUACUGCUUUGUUCUAUGUUAAACAACAUAGCAGUUCAUUCUUCAGGUUCUAUUCUCUAUUCUCACUUAUCUGUUAAUCAUUGUGAUAAUUGAAAAACAAAAGUUGUAAAAGAAUAUAAACUUUGCUUCUUCCCUUUUAACGUCUAACCUACUCUCACUCACGUUUUUUCUACUAUGGAAUAUCCUUUUAAAACUUCACUACAGGGAUAAAUAAAUACCAUAACAUCUAUGACAUAUAGGACAUAUUUGGUGAAGCAUUUUUUCACCCUUUCAACCAUCAAGCAACCUUGUAUUACAAGGAUAAGCAACAAAACUUUAUGAAAAGAAUAAAUGCUAAUAGUCAUUACCAAACGUUUCUUUCAGAAGGCCUCCUGCAAAGCAGUUGGCUUUAAUUCCCUUUCUAUUUGCCAUGAUAAACUGCCCCAUAUGUUUCACACCCUAAUUCUGGGAUCUCCUCUAGAUCAUCCUUUUUUAUCGUCAGAAGGUAAAAUGUAAAUACCAUCAGAAACAAAGUAACAACCUCCCAAUUACCAAAUUAAACCAGACAUAUUCAUGAACAAAUUUCCUAUCAUCAUAAAUCAUAAACCAGCUCUAAUAUAAACAGUAAAUCACUCAAAUGGUAUACAAUUCAUCAAUUAAAUAAAACAAAAUGCUCAAAACCAUCUUUCAUCGAAACUCAUUUAAAAAAAAAAGCAACAAAAUGAUAAAAUGGUAAAAUUCUAAUCAUAAAAACCAAAGUCGAGCUUCAUUCUUUUUUUAAAAGAAAAAUAAAUAAAAACUCAGAAUUCAAAACCCAAAGACAUAUAAAUCCAAACAUUCCAAAGCUCAAAUCCAUUAAAAACAAAAAAAAUAAAAAAUAAAAUCAGACAACAAAGAUUAAACCUUUUUUUACAAAUUUAAACAAAAUUAAAAAUUAAAAAACCCGCAAAAGAUUUCACAAUGACAUUAAUUCUUGAGAAAGAAAUUUUCUUGUGAAGCAAGAGAGAGAUAGAGAAGUUUAGAGAUACCGACACGUGAAGGGGCUGUCACCAGUAAGCCCUAGAGGAAACGGCGCUAACCCAACCAGGCUAAGAAAGGAAAAUGAAAUACAAGAUAAAAGAGAGGAUCAGCUAGGGAGAGGGAAAGAGGAAGAAGAAGAAGAAGAAAAAAAUGGAGAAUUUUAAGGUUUGUAAAAAACAUAGUUUCACCUGCAAAUUCAAUUCUUGGUUUUUGAGAUGUUGACCUCAGUCGACGUCACAACUGGAUGAACGGUGGAGGUGGACGCAGGCCGUCGGAGGAGAGUAGCUGCGGAUGGAGAAGAGUGGUGGUUGUCCAGUUAAAGGGGGCUUGGGGUCCGGGAGAGAGAACCAUGAAUAGGGGGAGAUAAAAUGAUAAGAUAAGACUUAGGAUUUAAUCCCUUACUACAACUGAGGACGGAAUAUGGACGAAAAUUUUAUCGGUAUUUUAAAAAUUGAUUUAAACAUAUUUUUUUGUGUUAGGCUAGCCCGACUUAUUAUAAUUAUGCUAAACAUAGGAUCCUGCCAUGCUAGCUCAUUUGGUCCAUUUUGUCAACUCUAGUAUCUAUAUAUUUUUUGUUAAACAUUGGAUAAAAGAGUAUUUUCAAAAUUUUACUAGAUAAUAUUAUACGCCUUCAAUAAAUCUUUU